AGUUAUCCCAGAUAAUUGUUUAUAUUAAAAACAAAUGAGAGUUUUUUGAAUUGUGAUCACAAGAAAGUUCAGAGGACCAUGUUGUUAAGGUUUCUUUAGAAAUCCCCCG
rnacentral:lncRNA from 1 species